AACGAACGCUGGCGGCAGGCUUAACACAUGCAAGUCGAGCGCCCCGCAAGGGGAGCGGCAGACGGGUGAGUAACGCGUGGGAAUCUACCCAUCUCUACGGAAUAACGCAUGGAAACGUGUGCUAAUACCGUAUACGUCCUUCGGGAGAAAGAUUUAUCGGAGAUGGAUGAGCCCGCGUUGGAUUAGCUAGUUGGUGGGGUAAAGGCCUACCAAGGCGACGAUCCAUAGCUGGUCUGAGAGGAUGAUCAGCCACACUGGGACUGAGACACGGCCCAGACUCCUACGGGAGGCAGCAGUGGGGAAUAUUGGGCAAUGGGCGCAAGCCUGAUCCAGCCAUGCCGCGUGAGUGAUGAAGGCCCUAGGGUUGUAAGGCUCUUUCACCGGUGAAGAUAAUGACGGUAACCGGAGAAGAAGCCCCAGCUAACUUCGUGCCAGCCGCCGCCGUAAUAC
rnacentral:rRNA from 1 species